rnacentral:rRNA from 1 species
AACGAACGCUGGCGGCAUGCCUAACACAUGCAAGUCGAACGAGACCUUCGGGUCUAGUGGCGCACGGGUGCGUAACGCGUGGGAACCUGCCCUUAGGUUCGGAAUAACCCCCCGAAAGGGGUGCUAAUACCGGAUAAUGUCUUCGGACCAAAGAUUUAUCGCCUUUGGAUGGGCCCGCGUUGGAUUAGCUAGUUGGUAGGGUAAAAGCCUACCAAGGCGACGAUCCAUAGCUGGUCUGAGAGGAUGAUCAGCCACACUGGGACUGAGACACGGCCCAGACUCCUACGGGAGGCAGCAGUGGGGAAUAUUGGACAAUGGGCGAAAGCCUGAUCCAGCAAUGCCGCGUGAGUGAUGAAGGCCUUAGGGUUGUAAAGCUCUUUUACCCGGGAUGAUAAUGACAGUACCGGGAGAAUAAGCUCCGGCUAACUCCGU